GAUGAACGCUGGCGGCGUGCCUAAUACAUGCAAGUCGAGCGAACAGACGAGGAGCUUGCUCCUCUGACGUUAGCGGCGGACGGGUGAGUAACACGUGGAUAACCUACCUAUAAGACUGGGAUAACUUCGGGAAACCGGAGCUAAUACCGGAUAAUCUCUUGAACCGCAUGGUUCAAUAGUGAAAGACGGUUUUGCUGUCACUUAUAGCUGGAUCCGCGCCGCUUUGGCUAGUUGGUAAGGUAACGGCUUACCAAGGCGACGAUGCGUAGCCGACGUGUGAGAGUGGUAGCCGGCAUUGGAAGGGGGACGCGGUCCAGGGUCCUGCGGUAGGCAGCAGUAGGGAAUCUGACGCAGUGGGCGGAAAUAUUGCAGAGCAGGGCGGAGUGAGUGGUAGAGGUCUUCGGUUCGUAAAACUGUGUUAUUAGGUAAGAACAAAUUUGUAAGUAGAUAAGCAGUGCUUGACGGUAACGGAUCAGAAAGCCACGGCUAACUACGUG
rnacentral:rRNA from 1 species